rnacentral:lncRNA from 1 species
AUGCCUGCAAUGGCUAGGGCUGCCAAAGCUGGCAGCGGGGAACUCAGUCCUGGUCUUCCAUACGGGUGCCAGGAACUCAGCUGUUUGAGCCUCCCAGGGUCUGCACUGGCAGGAAGCUGGAGCCAGGAGCUGGAGCUGGGAUUCGAACUUAGGCACUUCGAGCUGGAUCAUGGGCAUCUCAACCACCAGACUACAAGUCUGCUCCCACGGUCCGUACUUGCAAGGACUGCAUUUCUGGAGAGGGUGGGUUUUGAUGAGCACACGGGAUGGACAGAAAGAGGACGUGAGAAGACAAGAGAGCUUGCUCCUCAGAUGAUCCACUUGCAGACUUACAGAUGUUCCCUCUGCCGCGUGGAUUAUGACAGGGAGCCAUGCCAAGAUUUUCAGAAGAUAUUCUCUGGUUGGCUGUAAGACCCCCACAAGUUCUUCCAGCUAUGAAAAUGGACAGUUUCUCUUCCAAGACUGGAUUUCUAUAAAUGUUACAGCAACCUCACAUGGUGCUGACUGAACCGUAUCCAUGGACAAAGAUCAAUUAAAAAAAAGUGGAAAACAUCCAGUAUGGUUCUCAUCCUUCAACCAUCCACUCUCCCACAGUUUCCACCUGUUUCAGGUAUGUGCACAAAGGAUCUUCAAAAACUCAUGGAAAACAUGUAUUACACAAAUGCAAAACACGGAUUUCAGAAUGUCUCCAAAAUACGCUCAUCUUUUAAUUCCAUUUCUACCACACAUUUUUUGAAAUCCCCUUGUACAAUACCCCCGAUUAUUUGUAUGUCAACCUUUCCCAGAACUUAUGGCUAUCACCAACAAGGAGCUUUUUCCUGCAGGAUCCACUCUGUCAUGACUGGAGAUAGAGAUCUUCAUCUCUUGGAUGGCAAAGAUAACCCACAGAGGAAAAUAGCGGAUCCCAAAACCUAAGUAGGCAGUUGAGCCAGUCAGGAAAGUGGGGGAGAAAAAUACAGUGUUUCAACGAAUGCCUCCGUGUCUUCUACAUCAACAAAUACAGGAUUUUCUGAACUUCUACUUUUGACAAGUUCCAUGUUGUCCGUCUUGGGUGCACAAUGAGACUUUUCCACCUUGUAAAUGUUUCCUCCGGUGAGGAAUUUAGCAUCUCUAAGGUAGUUUUUUCUUCUUUGUAACAGGGUUGCUCAUGCCCCUGUGACAAGGAGACUGAGACAAUGGACACUCUACAAAAGUCCUUUUCUCCUUAGGAGCUCAUUACAACAUGAAUAAUUCUAGGGCGAGGCAUGCUUUGCUCAUCUUUGAAUCCUUGUACCAAGAUCAUUUGGUUACAACAUAAGCGUUUGAAUAAACACAUAGAAUUGCUUAUAAAUGUAAAGAAU